AUCGAACGCUGGCGGCAGGCCUAACACAUGCAAGUCGAACGAGUGGCGGACGGGUGAGUAAUGUCUGGGAAACUGCCUGAUGGAGGGGGAUAACUACUGGAAAUGGUAGCUAAUACCGCAUACCAUCAGAUGUGCCCAGAUGGGAUUAGCUAGUUGGGGGGGUAACGGCUCACCAAGGCGACGAUCCCUAGCUGGUCUGAGAGGAUGACUAGCCACCCUGGAACUGAGACACGGUCCAGACUCCUCGGGGAUGCAGCAGUGGGGAAUAUUGCGCGAUGUGCGGAAGCCUGAUGCAGCCAUGCCGCGUGUAUGAAGAAGGCCUUCGGGUUGUAAAGUACUUUCGGCGGGGAGGCGUUACCCGCAGAAGAAGCACCGGCUAACUCCGUGCCAGCCGCCGCGGUAAUUC
rnacentral:rRNA from 1 species